rnacentral:lncRNA from 1 species
UGGACUGUUUUGCUAGUUCUUUGGAAACAAGUAUCCUUAUAUGAUCUUAUGUGCUUCCAAACUGGUAUUGGACUGUUUUGUUGAGGGGGAUGUUGUUUCACGUUUCCCCUACGUUUUGAGCUAUUUUGUGACUAUGUUAAGAUUUAUUUGAUGUAUAUAUAUGUUGGGAGCAUCUGGUUCAAAGUUGGGACAAGUAUGAAUUGUUAACGAUGAAAUGUAGGGAGACGACGAGAUGUUGUGCUUCUUAGUUGAGCGUUUUGUAAAAUGGUUAUGUGUUGUAGUUAUGGACUGUUGCCAGCAUGUUAUAGAACUAAUAUAGGCUGUAUACAUCAUGUAUAUGAUAAUGUAUGCUGGUUGAAUACAGUUAGAAUUGAGAAAGUCGGAAUAACACCAUUGAGUUGAUGGUUAUACGUUUGUUGCCAAAGUGUUGUGUCUUGUGAGAUUGGGCUGUCCAGAUGCAUUGAUUAGCUGCUAAUAAUAGCUUUAAAACAUGAUAUUGUAGAUAAAUAUUUUGAAGAAAAGAAGUCAUUUUGACGUAAAAACAAGUUGAUAUGUCGA